AACGCACAUUGCGCCCCUUGGUAUUCCGAGGGGCAUGCCUGUUCGAGCGUCAUUACAACCCUCAAGCUUAGCUUGGUCUUGGGCUUCGCCACUUACCUGGCGGGCCUUAAAAUCAGUGGCGGUGCUAUCGAGGCCCUGAGCGUAGUAAAUACCCUCGCUACAGGACCUGGCGGCUACUAGCCAUCAACCCCCAACUUUCUAAGUUUGACCUCGGAUCAGGUAGGGAUACCCGCUGAACUUAA
rnacentral:misc_RNA from 1 species